rnacentral:rRNA from 1 species
AGAGUUUGAUCAUGGCUCAGGACGAACGCUGGCGGCGUGCCUAAUACAUGCAAGUCGAGCGGACUUUAAAAGCUUGCUUUUAAAGUUAGCGGCGGACGGGUGAGUAACACGUGGGCAACCUGCCUGUAAGACUGGGAUAACUUCGGGAAACCGGAGCUAAUACCGGAUAAUCCUUUUCCUCUCAUGAGGAAAAGCUGAAAGACGGUUUACGCUGUCACUUACAGAUGGGCCCGCGGCGCAUUAGCUAGUUGGUGAGGUAACGGCUCACCAAGGCGACGAUGCGUAGCCGACCUGAGAGGGUGAUCGGCCACACUGGGACUGAGACACGGCCCAGACUCCUACGGGAGGCAGCAGUAGGGAAUCUUCCGCAAUGGACGAAAGUCUGACGGAGCAACGCCGCGUGAGUGAUGAAGGUUUUCGGAUCGUAAAACUCUGUUGUUAGGGAAGAACAAGUACAAGAGU